CAAUAGCGUAUAUUAAAGUUGUUGCAGUUAACAAGCUCGUAGUUGGAUUUCUGGUAGGAGCGACCGUGCCGAACUUGAUUGUUCGAGUAUUGUGUUGUCUUCAGCCAUCCUCGUGGAGAACUUUUCUAACAUUAACUUGUUGGGAUUGGGACCCGCGUCGUUUACUGUGAAAAAAUUAGAGUGUUUAAAGCAGGCAUUAGCUUGAAUACAUUAGCAUGGAAUAAUAAGAUAGGACUUUGGUACUAUUUUGUUGGUUUGCAUACCAAAUUAAUGAUCAACAGGAACAGUUUGAGGAUAUUCGUAUGAACAUGUCAGAGGUGAAAUUCUUGGAUUUUGAUCAGACGAACUACUGCGAAAGCAUUUAUCAAGGAUGUUUUCAUUAA
rnacentral:rRNA from 1 species